rnacentral:rRNA from 1 species
GCUACGGGUGGCAGCAGUGAGGAAUAUUGGUCAAUGGGCGGGAGCCUGAACCAGCCAUGCCGCGUGAAGGCGAGGGCCCUACGGGCGUUAAACUUCUUUUGUGCGGGAGGAAGAAGGGCCACGUGUGGCCCGAUGAGAGUACCGCACGAAUAAGCAUCGGCUAACGCCGUGCCAGCAGCCGCGGGAAUACGGGGGAUGCGAGCGUUAUCCGGAUUGCUUGGGUUUCACGGGGGCGUCGGCGGGCUGUUAAGUCAGCGGGAAAAGCCCGGGGCUCAACCCCGGCGAGCCGUUGAAACUGGCUGUCUUUAUCUGUCGAGAGGUCUGCGGAAUGCGCAGUGUAGCGGUGAAAUGCUUUGAUAUUGCGCAGAACUCCGAUUGCGAAGGCAGCAUACCGGCGGCGAUCUGACGCUGAGGCACGAAAGCGUGGGUAUCGAACAGGAUUAGAUACCCCAGUAGUC